UGGCGGACGGGUGAGUAACGCGUAAAGAACUUGCCCUUUAGACUGGGAUAACAGAGGGAAACUUCUGAUAAUACUGGAUAAGUUAGUAUAUCGCAUGAUAUGCAAAUGAAAGCUACGGCACUAAAGGAGAGCUUUGCGUCCUAUUAGCUAGUUGGGAAGGUAAGAGCUUACCAAGGCGAUGAUAGGUAGCCGGCCUGAGAGGGUGGACGGCCACAAGGGGACUGAGAUACGGCCCUUACUCCUACGGGAGGCAGCAGCA
rnacentral:rRNA from 1 species